rnacentral:rRNA from 1 species
UACGUAGGAGGCGAGCGUUGUCCGGAUUUACUGGGCGUAAAGAACGCGUAGGCGGUUCGUUAAGUCUGGCGUAAAAUCUCCUGGCUCAACUGGGAGGGCGCGCUGGAGACUGGCGGACUGGAGGGCAUCAGAGGAAAGCGGAACUCCCGGUGUAGUGGUGAAAUGCGUAGAGAUCGGGAAGAACACCUGUGGCGAAGGCGGCUUUCUGGGGUGUACCUGACGCUGAGGCGUGAAAGCGUGGGGAGCGAACCGG